GUUCGAAUAAGUCUGAAAAGCAUGACAUCAAGGCGACCGUCAGGCGUUGAGGCAAUAGUUGGAUGCCGCCGCUCAGCACUGGCAUCUUCCACUGUACUGCUGUAUUUUGCGGGACAGAGCAUACUUUAUCUGACAAGGUAGGGAUAAUGUAGGCUGCAUUUAGUAAGCAGAAACUACGGUUACUGCCUAGAGCUGUAUCACAGUAUGUACCGCAAGCUGUCAGCUUUGACGCAGCUAUGAGCCGUUUUUAGGAAGUGUUUCAUUGACUCGUGAUAAUGCUGUUGAGAAAUUGAAAUGAUAAUUGGACCUCACAGAUCGAUUUCGAAAAAUAUGCAUUUCAGACCCCUCUGGUGCUUGCUCGGCAAAUUCAACCUCUGAGGUGGCACUAACACCCAGUCAAGGACAAUGUCAAGGUGCAAAAAGUUGUAACCGUGGUAAGUUGGUGCUUUGAUGAAUCUUGUGCUGCAGUCUUGGAACUGCUAUGAACUAGAAAUUCUAAUAUACUACGAAACUAGGAGCUAUACUAUGCUAGGAAGUGUCAUACUGAUUUAUGUUUUUCUUGUUUGCAGGCCGUGGUUGUGAGUGGA
rnacentral:lncRNA from 1 species